rnacentral:lncRNA from 1 species
GCAGCAUGGAGCCCGGCCGCCGCAGCACCUCUGCUCCGCGAUCCGUGGGCAUCCUCUUCACUGUGUCCAUUGGAUGUUUGCCUCCCAGACUGAGGGGGAGCUCAGAAUGACCCAAAUUCUCAAAAGAAAAGUUUCCUCGAGCUACAGCUAUCAAAGUCACUGACAUUUCAAGAGGUUGUGGGGUCAUGUAUGAAAUUAAAAUUGAAUCAGAAGAAGUUAAGGAGGAGAGAACUAUUCAGCAGCACCAAAUAGUGAAUCAGUCACUACAAGAAGAAAUCAAAGUGAUGCAUGGAUUGCGGAUAUUUACCUCUGUCCCCAAACGC